UCCUACGGGAGGCAGCAGUGAGGAAUAUUGCGCAAUGGGCGAAAGCCUGACGCAGCAACGCCGCGUGGAUGAAGAAGUUCUUCGGAAUGUAAAGUCCUUUUGCAGAGGAAGAAUCUCCCGGCUUGCCGGGACUGACGGUACUCUGCGAAUAAGCCACGGCUAACUCUGUGCCAGCAGCCGCGGUAAUA
rnacentral:rRNA from 1 species